AAAAAUGUAUAAUGCGUUCGGGGGGAAUCGAACCCCCGUCGAAUGCUUGGAAGGCAUCCAUGCUGACCAUUACACCACGAACGCGACGA
ensembl:ncRNA F49D11.13 ncRNA